rnacentral:rRNA from 1 species
UACGUAGGCAGCGAGCGUUGUUCGGAGUUACUGGACGUAAAGAGUGCGUAGGCGGUGCUCCAAGUCUGGUGUGAAAUCUCCCGGCUUAACCGGGAGGGUGCGCCGGAAACUGGGGUGCUGGAGUGUGGGAGAGGUAAGCGGAAUUCCAGGUGUAGCGGUGAAAUGCGUAGAUAUCUGGAGGAACACCGGUGGCGAAGGCGGCAUCCUGGACCAAUACUGACACUGAGGAGCGAAAGCCAGGGGAGCAAACGGG